UUCCUCACAUUUUGCUUAGUUAAUUCCUUAACGAAUCGAUUUUUAACUCAAUUUCUAUUUUCUUAGGUACAUUGGAGUAAAUGAUGGUGAAAUGAGCAUUAGGUCCACACUUACCUAUAAAUGGUGGAGAAAAAUGGAAAUGUACUAAAAUGUCAAUUUUACACAUUUUCCUACUCCGGCUAGGAGAAACCAAGCCAAGCAAGGAAGAAGGAGCGGCCGCCGGACCAAAUGAACUUCAAAUGAGCUGAAACUUUCCAGAUCCAUUCUAGACAGCCCAAGGAUCAUUUCUUAUGAAGAGUGCAAGAACUUUUGUUGAGUGGAAGGCCUUCAAACAAUCAGCCCAAUUUUCUACAGAAGCAAAACUGGAAAACUGGACCUGUAAGAGGUCCAGCAGCAUUUUCGGCCCAACCACAUGGAAUAAAAAUCUGAAAUUUUACCAGGGUGAUCUACACUCAUAAUGGAACAUUUUUUAUGAAGAGGUCAUAGUGAAAUUGGGAAUGCUUGUUGGAGAAAUAAUUGAAGGAAUAAAGGGGCAGAAACUGAUCUAAAAAAAACAGCUCAACAUCACAUGUUCAAGUUUCCUACCCACAUGAAGAAAGCUAGAUGCUUUUCUCUUUUUCCUUGGAUAUAUUUUUCUGCUCCAAUAGAUCAUCAUCACUUCCAUACUUCUACACCUUCAUGCCUUGCUUUCAUUUCAUCAUUACUCCAUCUUUUCCAUAUUUUACAAACCACUUUCAUUAUUUUUCUUCCAUUUAUCAUUUCACUCUUCUUUUUCUUCCCUAUAUAAACACCUUCUCCUCUCACUCUAAACACCUUCCUUCAUCCAUUUCAUCUUCUUUGUCUCUCCAUUUCCAUUCCAUUUUUCUCUCCAUUCUCUAGUUGCAAAAUUCUGCGUUUUCAAGUAAGAAGAAGAAGAAGAAGAAGGAGCCGGGAAUAUCAUAUCCUCCAUCGUCCACCUUGAAGGCUUGCUUCCAAGAUUCAAGAUUUCAACGUUUCAAGCACUCCAUCUCCAUCUCCAACUCACGGUGUGUACCCUCAAUCCCCGGAAUAGAACGAUCCCUAUUUGCUUAUACUACUAACGAUGUUUUCAGGGUUAAAUUAUGCGCUUACUUUGAGCGUGUCAAUUUUUGGCGCCGUUGCCGGAGACCGAACCCGGGUCACCCGCGUGACAGGCGGGAAUACUUACCACUAUACUAUUGAAAAAUCACUUGUUUUUGUUUAUAAUUGUUGUAUAUAAACUGUUUGAUACUUAGUUUAAAUUAACUAGGUUGUUUUUUUUAUUGUUGAAUACGAGUUUAAUUGUGAGUUGUAAAUUAAAGAAGGAAUAGGUGAAGUCGUGUUUAUUAAUAUUGGCCUAAACCCCUUAUUGGUACCUAGUUCAGGUCCCUUAAGGUUGAGGGCGGCCUUUAUUAACAUUCAUUGAACUGUCUAACACACUUAGGACCUUUUACAUCCUAGUAAGAAUAUCCUAUGUGAGAUGGUGUCUAGGAAGGGGAUAACGUUCAUGACGGGUUUUUGAAUCCAGAAGUGCUUAUAAAUGGGCUUAGCUCAUGCCAAAAUGGAUUUUUCCUCUCGUGUUCACCCUCCCCUACCUGGCCAUUUCAGUAAGGUUGCCCAACGGAUGUAGGAGGGACUUUGUGUCUAGACGACUAUACUUGGGCCGCACGUCCACUUGAUUUACCGCUUGGAAUUAGAUUUGAUAUCAAUAAUGUUUAUAACAAAAGAAAUACUUGUGCAUACUCUUUACGUGUAAAUUAUUUUGUUGUUUCACACUUUAUACUUGUAAAAAUACUUUUUACGUUUUAUACUCACUUGUGUACUUAACUUGUGUCUUAUGUACAAAAUACUUGUUAAUUAUACUUGUAGUUUGUAAUUCAUAGUUACUUGUUUUUUUUUUUUUUGUAUUUCUUUGUUAAUAUUAAGUUACUAACUUUAUUUAAUGUAGGUACCGUCUGGCUGCAAGACGUAAAAUACAAGCGCUGCUUGGGAGGCAACCCAAUUCAGAAUAUAAUCAGAUUUGCUUUCUCUUCCCCUUUUACUCCUCCAUUUUCUUUUUGUUUUAGUAGUUAUUUUCGUAAAUUCCAUCCCUAUAUGCUUACUUAUUUCAUUGCAUGCUUUUAAUUGAUUACAUUGAGGAUAAUGCAAUAUUUAAGUGUGGGGGAAGGGAUUUAUAUUUUUGUCUUUCAUUUUGAAUCCUAUAAAUAUUUUUGUCUUUCAUUUUGAGUCCUAUAAAUAUUUUUGAGUCCUAUAUUUUAAAAAAAAUAAUAAUAAUAAUAAUAAUAAAAAAAAUAAAAAAUAAAAAAUAAAAAUAAAAAAAUAAUAAAAAAAAAUAAAUAAAUAAAAAAAAAAUAAAAAAAAAUAUGCAUUCAUUCAGUCUUAUUAAAUUCAGCUAUUUACAAAAAAAAAAAAAAAAAAAUAAUAAUAAUAAUAAUAAUAAUAAUACUCUAUACUAAGACAUGUCUGCAUCUCUGUAGGAGUUGAGGCUGAGCUCAAGGGAAAUGUGAGAGCCACCGCCAUAACCGCUACCUCUCUCGGAAGUAGUCUUCAUGAUGCCCAAGAUGUCCUCACCAUGCAUGGGGAACAAUGGAAGGGUUUCAAUCUCCUGGUGAUCUCCUCCUCGUUGUUGCUGGGAUGUCUGUCCUCCUGUUGUGCCAAAAGAGUUGUACUGGUAUUAGUGUUGAAGUGUGAGGAAGAAUAUGAAACAAAUUUUAAAUCAAGAAAUCAUUCAUUACCAGUAGAAUCGGUGGAACCAAAGUUGAGAUUAAUGGAUCUACCAUCAUCAGUAGAACUAGUGGACCCAAAAUUGAUGUCAAUGGAUCCACCAGCUGGCCCAAAAUUGAUGUCGAUGGAUCCACCAGCACCAGUAGAACCAGUGGACCCAAAAUUGAGAUCAAUGGAUCCACCAGUACCAGGAGAACUAGUUCCCAUGGGCACUUGAGCAGCCUGAUUGCACCUCUUCAUCUGCUUCUCUCGAGCCCUGACAUUCUGGAACCAAAAAUAAAUGUUCUUGCCCUCAACAUGUCCAUACUGGUUCAGCUGGAGACAGAUCUCGUGAAUAUGCUCUGUAGUUGGGCGCUUAACUCCCUUGUCGUAGUAAAGAUCCUUGAGGAUCCUUAUUUGAUCUGGAGUAGGAACCCACCUGGCACGGCUUCGCCAGAAAUCUGUGUUGGCACUACUCCCGGCUGCUUGGUUGUUUCCUCCAUCCUCGAUUUGUUGCUGGGUUUGUAGCUCCAUCAGUUGCAGAGUUCGUGGUUCCAUGGUGAUGGGUUGAGGGGAUGUGAAGAUCGAAGAGUAAAGUUGUCAAGUGUUUGAAGGAGUUGUUGUUAAAGGGAUUAAGGAUGAUGAUGGUGUGUUGGAGAUCUGAAAGUUCAGAGGAAAGAUGGGAUUGAAUCAACUAGAUGGGAGAGAAGAUCAGAAGAGAAGGAUUGAAUCGAAGAAGAAAUAUUUUGAGUUUUGAAAGAAGAGGAAAAGCUGAAGAGUUGGGAGAGAGGGGCUGGAACUCAGGAGAGAUUUUCGUUCCUUUGGAGUGAACAGUUGCGCCCUCAGAAUGCACCUAUUUAUAGAGCGAGGUGAGCAGAUCUCCACCGUUAGAUGGACGAUUCCUGUGAUUCAUUCUACGCGUUGGAUUAAAGUCGCCCUGAAACCCGGAAAAGUUGUUGGCGCGUGGAGAGCGUGUAAGGGGACCGAGGGAAUCUCGAGGCGCUGUGGCAGACAGCUGUAGCCGAAAGCAGAUUUGACUGCCGUAAAUCACGGAAGGGAUAAGCCGUGACACAAGUGGGCCGUACUUGGGCCUGUCUCGGAUCAAGGCAUCACUGUAGCUGUGGGUGGAGGCCUGAUGGGCCGAGUUUCAGAAACAGUUUUGGACCUGAUGGGCUGAGUUUCAGAAACAGUUUUGGACAUGAUGGGCCGAGUUUCUGAAACAGUUUUGGAUGAGUUGGGCUGGGUUUCUGAAACAGUCUUGGAUGUUUUGUGCCGAAUUGUUGAAACAGUUGAAACAGUUGGUUUAAAUAAAAGGAUUGGUAUGGAUAAUAACGUGAGCAGCCGUGCUCGAGUGGUUGAGUGUAAAGUUCGUGUACAAGAGGUCUGAGGUUCGAACCUUGCCUCUCGUUUAUUUUUAUUAUGUUCGUUUAUGACAUAAUAAGUAUAAAAUUUGUACACAUUAUAUUAAGCACAGCUUGUGCUCCAGUGGUUGGGGACAAAGGUUUCGUGUAGCAGGUUAAGGUUUCGAACCUUGCCUCCCCCGUUUUUUUUUUUUUAUUUAUGUCACUCCAUCAGAACCCUCCUCCGAAGGCUGAAACCAGCAAGAAGGCUGCCACUCGCCCGCAUACCGCUCCUCCAAAGGAGUAAAUGGAGGUACAAGUCUAGGCUGAAAGACUUUAAACAUUAAGCGCUGCAUGGGAGGCAACCCAUUUCAACCGUAGCUGUGGAGGAGCCAUCAACGCAGAUUUGCUCUCUUAAACUCUAUCUCCUCUAUUACUAUUUUCUGAUUGUAUCUUUGUUAUUUGCGUUUUUAGUUUUUGUUUUUAGGUUUUCUUGAGUUAAUCAUUCCAUUCACAUGAUAAUUGUUCAUUGCAUGCUCUAACUUGUUUAACAUUGAGGACAAUGUAUGAUUUAAGUGUGGGGGGAAGGAUUAAUGCUUGUAGUUAGUUUUUGUCAUAAAAAGAAAACAAAACAAAAAAAUCGAAAAAUGUCAGAAAUAUAAAAAAUUUCGUUGCUUUUGUUUUUGUUUUGAGUCUUAGGAUGCCUUUCAACUGUCUGGGAUGAUUCUAUAUCUCUGAAAUCAUGACUAAAAGAGGAUCACAACAUUGAGAUGAUUUUAAACAUGGUAUUCUUUGGUUAAUUGAGAUAUAUGAAAAAUGUGUGCCUUGUAGUGGAUAUGGAUUGCAUGACCUUGGUACAGAAUAUGAGCAUGUUAAGAUGAGUUGUGAUUCAUAAAGCCAUGUGAGAUAAUUGAACCAUGUCCCUUUUUCUUGGAGUGAAAUGAAAAAUAUAUUCUUAAUUUCUUGGCGAUGUUUUGAUGAUCUCAUUAUUCUUUCAUCUUGAUUGACUGCUUGCCAUAGAUUAAGUUUAAUGGACUAGAGAAUGCUAGAAUUCGCUCUUGUGCUUGUUGAGACGUGAUAUCAAUACAUGGCCCUGAUUCUGGAAGGGAUAGAGGUUCUCUAGGAAUUACCACCAUUGCCAAAUAAACUUGUGUCCCCAUUUGUGCCCGUCGUGGGACCCCCCUAGAUAAGCCCCUUUGAGCCUACAUUAAGCCUUUUCGUUCAUCACCCUUAAAAUCCUUAACCAUGAAGCUUAGUAUAGUUACAACCCUACCCUUUGUUCUAAGGACUUAGUGGAGCUAUCUUUUGAGACAUACUACAUGGGUUUGGUGCUAAGGAUGAAGAUUGAGAAGAGGUGAAAGUUCAAGUGUGGGGAUAGACUUGUCCAUAAAGAAAUAGAUAUGUUGAAGCCGUGAAAAAUGAAAAGAAAAGAGAAAAAUUGUGUACGGCUAAAAAAGAAAAAGAAAGAAAAAAAAUAUAUGUUUAUGGACUUUCAUCCCCCAUACUUAGUGAUUUUGGAGUUUGCUUUGAAUUGAAGGCCCACUACAGAAAAAUUUGGCCUUUGUCCAUUUCACUAGAGUUCAAGGGAAGUUUAUAUUGAAGAUUGGGCCCAACAUGAAGACAUUUGGCCCUCUUAUAUUACCUCUAUGGAGAAGUGACGUUUUUGCAAUGCCUUGGUGAAAUAUUUCGAGAUCUCUACAUUCAUAUGAGCUCUACUAGGUUUUUAGGACACUUUGAUAAUCCUUACCUUUCAUUUCUUUAAACCUUGAGCCUUAGCCCCAUUACAACCUUUGAGAGGACCUUCUUGAUCCUUAAGAUGGGACAGCCUUUGAUGUGGAGAUGAGUUACAAGAGUUGAACCUAUGGCUUGGGUCCAUUCGUGCAAGUAGUUGAUAUCCUUCAUGAGAUCUUUUGAAAAAAAAAAAAUUAUAUUCACAAAGUGCUUUUCGUUUCUUAUAUAUGUGAGCUAUUUGACUGCCUUAAAAUAUGUUCUCUCACAUAUAAAUGAGUGAUUAUAAGCUUUUAAGCAUUGCCUUGAUCUGAGAGAAGAAAAAGUGGAUAUACCUUGUGAGGAUAUGAAUCAUACUUGUCUGAAGCAUGCUAAGCUAAACCCCAAUCACCAUUAUUACAACCAAGUCCUACUUGUGUAUGUGUGGAUCAUAUGUUUUAAUUAACUCUCGAAUGCUUAACAUUGAUUCUUGGUUGAGUGCUAAUCUUGGUGUUGUGAAAGUAAGAGAUUUCUGAGACAAUAUGUUAAAGGGCAAUAGAGGUCUUUGUGAUGUCAACAUCUUGGUCUUUGUCUUUGAAUUUACUCUUUUAUGUGUGACGUUUUUUUUUUUCUUUGUGUUUUGCUUUGUGUUUUACGUUUUUGGUUUCUUUGAGUCUUUGUGUUUUUGUUUCCAUACUUAGUCAUUUUUUUCGUUGGUUUCUUUGUUUUGUGUCAUAGUCUUUUUGGUUUGUUAGUUUUUGAUUUUGCUAAGGGACUAGCAAAAGCUAAGUGUGGGGGAAUUUGAUAGGAGCAUUUUAAUGUGGUAUUUUAAUAGUUAAUUCCUCACAUUUUGCUUAGUUAAUUCCUUAACGAAUCGAUUUUUAACUCAAUUUCUAUUUUCUUAGGUACAUUGGAGUAAAUGAUGGUGAAAUGAGCAUUAGGUCCACACUUACCUAUAAAUGGUGGAGAAAAAUGGAAAUGUACUAAAAUGUCAAUUUUACACAUUUUCCUACUCCGGCUAGGAGAAACCAAGCCAAGCAAGGAAGAAGGAGCGGCCGCCGGACCAAAUGAACUUCAAAUGAGCUGAAACUUUCCAGAUCCAUUCUAGACAGCCCAAGGAUCAUUUCUUAUGAAGAGUGCAAGAACUUUUGUUGAGUGGAAGGCCUUCAAACAAUCAGCCCAAUUUUCUACAGAAGCAAAACUGGAAAACUGGACCUGUAAGAGGUCCAGCAGCAUUUUCGGCCCAACCACAUGGAAUAAAAAUCUGAAAUUUUACCAGGGUGAUCUACACUCAUAAUGGAACAUUUUUUAUGAAGAGGUCAUAGUGAAAUUGGGAAUGCUUGUUGGAGAAAUAAUUGAAGGAAUAAAGGGGCAGAAACUGAUCUAAAAAAAACAGCUCAACAUCACAUGUUCAAGUUUCCUACCCACAUGAAGAAAGCUAGAUGCUUUUCUCUUUUUCCUUGGAUAUAUUUUUCUGCUCCAAUAGAUCAUCAUCACUUCCAUACUUCUACACCUUCAUGCCUUGCUUUCAUUUCAUCAUUACUCCAUCUUUUCCAUAUUUUACAAACCACUUUCAUUAUUUUUCUUCCAUUUAUCAUUUCACUCUUCUUUUUCUUCCCUAUAUAAACACCUUCUCCUCUCACUCUAAACACCUUCCUUCAUCCAUUUCAUCUUCUUUGUCUCUCCAUUUCCAUUCCAUUUUUCUCUCCAUUCUCUAGUUGCAAAAUUCUGCGUUUUCAAGUAAGAAGAAGAAGAAGAAGAAGGAGCCGGGAAUAUCAUAUCCUCCAUCGUCCACCUUGAAGGCUUGCUUCCAAGAUUCAAGAUUUCAACGUUUCAAGCACUCCAUCUCCAUCUCCAACUCACGGUGUGUACCCUCAAUCCCCGGAAUAGAACGAUCCCUAUUUGCUUAUACUACUAACGAUGUUUUCAGGGUUAAAUUAUGCGCUUACUUUGAGCGUAUCACUAUAUAUACUCUCUCAAUGAAGA